CCUCCGCCGAGGGCAUUGCCGCCACCAUUGGCAUCACCUCCGCCGAGAGUAUCAUCCCCGCCAUUGGCAUCACCUCCGUCGAGGGCAUCACCGCCGCUAGUGGCAUCACCUCCGCCAGGGCUAUUGCCGCCGUCAUUGGUAUCACCUCCGUCUAGACACCUCCCCCGUCUGUCUCCGGGGCACAGUGAUGAUUUGUAUGCCCGUUUGACUGGAUUUAUAGCGGAGAAGGUUGGCGCGCUACGAUGAGACUUGACGGAGAGGGUUGAUGAUUUGGGACGAGAGUUGACAGGGAGGGUCGACGAUUUGGCAGGGAGAGUCGACUAUUUGACAGGGAGGGUCGACGAUAUGGGACGAGAGUUGAUAGGGAGGGUUGACGAUUUAUCCCAUGAUGUUGAAAUACUACAGUCUUCCGUUGUCGACUUUCAGGAUACAGUAGCGGCGCUUAGAGGAGAUUUAGCCGGCAGACGAUGGUGGGACAGAGGGGAUGGCGGAGAUCAUGAUCGAGAGGGUGGCAGAGAUGGUGAUGGAAAGGGGGGUCACCCACAUUUUUGGCGUGAUGAGACAUUGGAGUCAUUAUGGUUGUCUAUGGAGGGGGUGGCCCCGAUGGGGAUAGGAGAGGGGACUACGGAGGGGGUGGCCCCGACGAGAGGGGCGGAGGAGGUGGUGACGGAGGGGGAGGCCUCGACUGGGAGGGGCGGAAGUGGUAGCGACGGAGGCGGAGGCCCCGACGGGAGGGGCGGAGGAGGUGGCCCCGGAGGUCGAGAGGACGCCCGACGUGAUUGAGGGUAAGAGACAUGCUGUUGACGAGACGGAGCAGGUGGUCGGCAAGAGGUUAAGAGUGCCGUCACAGUAUGUUGUUUCCCCCUUCACGGCUGAGGCCAAGAGGAGGACGUUUAUCGAUGGGACGUACCCGAACUUAUUCAGAGAGGUGGACAAUGCCAAGUGAAAAGCGUUCGAGAUAGAGUGAAGGAGAAUUAUCCCCGGAGUUAGCCGCACGAUAGGUCAAAGGACGGUCUCGGACCCUUACAAGUGGUUCCACGAUAUCACCACUGCGGGAGCUUGGCUCGCUGACGAUCACAUCGACCUGGUCAUGGACUUGCUGCGAGAUCGAGCUCAAAGACAUCCAAAAUCAUUUGAUGUCCAUGGUCGAGUCAUAUUAAACAUCGAGUUCCUGCGUGCCGUUACCAUAGAGUAUCAGUCGCUUGAACUUAUGGGUAACGAGUACACGGUGCCAGAAUAUAUGCUCGAGUGAGUGAUAAAACUGUCACCGAGUGUCAGGGGAAAAUCAUGGGAGGGUUGUACACAUAUGUACAUUCCAGCGUGCAUCAACAAACACUAUGUUACGCUGGAGAUCGUUUUUGCUGACUCGACUAUAUAUGUGUACGACUCAUAUCAUUCAUGUUUGACACAAGGCCAGUUGGAGCAAAACCUGGAGUCCGUGGCUGUAAUUGUUCCUAUGAUGGCUAGACGAGCGGGGAUAAAUGUACAUGAUAGAUUGCGGAUCGUUCAAAACACGACGACAACGCGACAGUCCGUAAGCGGCGAUUGCGGCAUAUUUGCCAUUAAGUACGUUGAAUUUUUAAGUAUAGGACAUAAGGUUGAUGGAAUCAACC